AAGUCCUCGAGAAGAGAGAGAGAGAGAGAGAGAGUGUGUAUUAUUGGAGAAUGUAACUCUUCAUCUUGUGCUGCAAGCAAAUUAUCGAGGUUUGCAAAAUAAAUGGAACCAACCAUGCCUUCUGAUUGAUACUGCUACGGACAGAAUCCUCAACUCCAUUUCUGCCAAGUGCUUGGAUGUACUCAGAUGGAGUCGCGUGAUGUUUGUGGACUUUUUGAAGGUAUCUGCAAACCACUUCCAGAACACUUCAUCUGUAAGUUUUCAUGCUUUUUGAAGUACUUUCUCCCAUAAAGAAUGAUGAUUCUUCGCCAUGCAGGCUACAUAGCCAUUUUGAUGGACAAGCAUGCUGUUGAAUAAACUUUUCUUUCCAUGU